rnacentral:rRNA from 1 species
UAGGGAAUCUUCUGCAAUGGACGAAAGUCUGACCGAGCAACGCCGCGCGAGUGAAGAAGGUUUUCGGAUCGUAAAACUCUGUUGUUAGAGAAGAACAAGGACGUUAGUAACUGAACGUCCCCUGACGGUAUCUAACCAGAAAGCCACGGCUAACUACGUGCCAGCCGCCGCGGUAAUACGUAGGGGGCGAGCGUUGUCCGGAUUUAUUGGGCGUAAAGCGAGCGCGGGCGGUUUCUUAAGUCUGAUGUGAAAGCCCCCGGCUCAACCGGGGAGGGUGAUUGGAAACUGGGGGACUUGAGUGCAGAAGAGGAGAGUGGAAUUCCAUGUGUAGCGGUGAAAUGCGUAGAUAUAUGGAGGAACACCAGUGGCGAAGGCGGCUCUCUGGUCUGUAACUGACGGUGAGGCUCGAAAGCGUGGGGAGCAAACAGG